GGCAGGGGAAAUCAUGGAAGGUUUGUAAAUGCGGGAGGGACACAGGCAGAGCUGUGCUGCUCUGGGAUUAACCUGGCACACAAGGUGGAUGGCAGCUCAGGGGCAGGCGACCAGCAAAGACAGUGCAGAUCUCCAACCAUCACUGUGGGGAAGAACCAUCUUGUUUCUUUCACAUUCCCAAGGCCCUGAGUAGUAGGUCGAUAUCAGGUAGCCAGCACUUGAUUACCAGACUACCCAAUUUGAAGUUAAGAGCCAAGAACAACAUAGCCCCUGUUCAAUCUAAUCUUCCUUUUCUUGUGACAGGGAUGUCAUGUAUGAGCCAAAGAAGGCCGGGCUAAAGUUUUAGCUUUUUCAGACUGUAAGG
rnacentral:lncRNA from 1 species